CUCUCGGUCGUCUAGUUGGUUUAUGGCGUCGGACUGUAAUGUCACCAGAUCAUCCGAAUGUCGCGCGUUCGACUCGCGCCUGAGAGA
rnacentral:tRNA from 1 species